rnacentral:lncRNA from 10 species
GCUCCGUCUAGGACUGAGGACACAGAAGCACUGAUCGUUCUAAAGCCACACUUUCUGUUCAAGUCCAAACAUAAACUUCUUUUGUUUCCAUAAAGAAGGCGGUAGCAUUCUAAGAUACACAGAGGAGCAAGGAAUCCCAUCAUAUCCAUGUUAUUUCCUAACUGCGUAUAUUGAAAAUAAUGAAAUAGAAGAAAAGUGAAAGCUCAAGUUCACCAGAAUGCUCAUGGGACCUGUAAUUACAGUGACUCAUCCCUAAAAAAGUUAUUGUGAGUAGUCACUGUUCCUACGAUAAUGCAAUGGUUUUGCUUAUAAAAUUUCCCUGAAGUUAAACCAACUUAGAGGUGGUGAGUUUGGAUGCAGAAAUUAUUACAUCAGGAGAAAUGCUUCCAAAAUGAAAUGCUUGAUAUAAUAAAAGAAGAGCAAUGCUAUCCAUAUGACUAUGAUGUGAACUUAAUCAAGAGGAUAAAAGUCUCCAAAUUGUAAUUACAGAUGAAUUACUCCACGGCUUGCGAUUUUCAAGAGGAAUCUUGUUUCUAAAUCUUGACACAGUGGGACCAAAGAAACCUAUCUGUUUCUAUUACUGGGAAAAAAGUGAAUCUCAAAAUGAAAAACAAUCUGCGGCUUCAAAGAGAGAGAGCUGACAGCAAAAUAUUUGAAUUAAUUAGAGAACUACAGGUUGUUCAUUGACGGGUUCUUUUUGCAGGCAUAUUCUGAAACAUCUGUGCUUGUUUCCACGGAGAUGUGGUUGGUUUAUUUUGUUGUUAAUAUACCAUAUGAGCAUGAAGGAAAUUAGAGGAAGCUACCUGAUGGAAAACUAAAUUUAGACAUUUCCAGACAGUCUGAGAGAAGUUACAACCUCCUGGGCCAGGCAGAGGAUAGUUCAAUUCCUUGAUGAACUAUGCCAAGUUAAAUGAACAUCAGCUAUUUUUAGAACACUGACAGCCUUCUUAGACAUGACACCAAAGAAUAUUAGUUUUGAGGUCCACUGGACGGCAUGCUCAGGUCUGAAGAGUUCCAAAAAAUAAAAAUAAAUUCACCCAUUUCUAAAUUUUAAAAAAUAAUAAUGAUUUUCCUAAAGGGGCCAGCUCUGACUCUAAACACCUUCUUUGAAAGGCUCAAGUGUCCAAGGGUUGGUUUUCUUGUAUAGGAUUUCUACUGUUUCUCUCAAGGCCAUGUUCUCUGUUAUUGUUCUCAUAUUUUCCCCUACAGCAGAGAGGUCCUUAUGUACCAUGGGUUAAUAUUUUUUUCCUAAAUUUAUUUUAGGGUGGAAAAGAGAAAUAAAGAACUCUAACUGCUUCUAAUUUGCUUUUGUUUCAUCUUCUUUCUUCCUGUUGCAAUCUCUCUUUUCACUAACUCUACCUCGUUAAGCUUUGUCCAUUUGGUAGUUCUAUUUUUAAUUUUCCAAAAAUCAUCCAUACUGUUUUCUGAAAGUUCUGUACCAAUUUACAUUUCCACCAACAGAGUACAAGGGUUCCCUUUUCUCCACACCAUUGCCAACACUUACCUUUUGGCUUUUUGAUAGUAGCCAUUCUAACAGGCAUGAGGUGAUAUGUCAUUGUGAUUUUGAUUUACAUUUCCCUAAUGAUUGAUGAUAUUCAUCAUCUUUUCAUGUAUCUGUUGGCUAUUUUUGGUCUUCUUUGUGAAAAUGUCUAUUCAUGUCCUUUGCCCAUUUUUAACUUGAGUUAUUUGGGGUGUUUUUUGUUUAUUUUUGUUACUUGUUUUUGCAAUUAAGUUUUAUGAGUUGCUUAUAUAUUUGGGAUAUUAACACCUUACUGGAUAUAUGGUUUACAAAUAUUUUCUUUUUUCUGUAGGUUGCCUUUUUGUUUCUUCAUUGUUUCAUUUGCUGUACAGAAGUUUUUAGUUUGAUGUAGUCCUGUUUAUUUUUGCUUUUAUUUUCUGUACUUUUGAGAUCAAAUCUAAAAAAUCAUUGCCAAGACCAAUGUCAAAGAGCUUUUCCUUCAUGUUUUCUUCUGGGAGUGUCAUGGUUUCAGGUCUUACAUGUAAGUCUUUAAACCAUUUUGAAUUCAUUUCUGUGUAUGAUAUAAGAGAAAGAUCUGAUUUUAAGGUUUGCUUGUCAAUAUCAAGUUUUUCCAACACCAUUUAUUAAAGAGUCUAUACUUUCCUCCAUUGUAUAUUAUUGGAACCUUUGUCAAAAAUUAGUUGAGCAUAUAUGAACGGGUUUGUUCUGGGCUAUUAGGUUCCACUAGUCUAUGUCAAGGCAGCCAAGAUCUUUUUCCUUCACAACAUUCAGAGUUGAAGGGAAUGAAACAUUAAGUCCUGUCAUUUGGCAUGUUCAUUUAAAUUUCAACGUAUUUCAGAAUUUCAUAGUCUCAUCGUUGGGCUAUCAAGCCUACAUCCCCAUAACAUCAUUUAUUUAUAUCAUUAGCCCAUAUAAAUCUGCUGUUCCAAGCAGAACACAUUGUUAGUUCUAGAAUUUUCCAUGAGAUGGGCAGGUACCUACAGAUGCUAGACACUUUUGGGUUGUUUUACAUCUAAUUAGCAACAGAAUUAUGACACCAAAUUAAUUUCAGGAACUGCUCUUGAAAUGCCAAUAUACAUAAGGUUUUAAGAAUUUGAUACUGUGCAAGUUAGAGAAACAGAUGGAACUUUCUGAACAAUAGAAUUCGUCUCCAAGUGACAUUUAAUAUAAAGCAAUACCUGAAUUAUAAAUGGCUUUAAAGUUAUUAUCUUUGAAUUGUUUUCCUUUCAAACACCUACCACGCAGGUGAAAGAAAAAAA